UACAGAGGGUGCGAGCGUUGUUCGGAAUUAUUGGGCGUAAAGGGCGCGUAGGCGGCGCCACAAGUCACUUGUGAAAACUCUGGGCUCAACCCAGAGCCUGCAGGCGAAACUGUGGUGCUGGAGUAUGGGAGAGGUGUGUGGAAUUCCCGGUGUAGCGGUGAAAUGCGCAGAUAUCGGGAAGAACACCCGUGGCGAAGGCGGCACUCUGGGACGGUACUGACGCUGAGACGCGAAAGCGUGGGGAGCGAACAGG
rnacentral:rRNA from 1 species